rnacentral:misc_RNA from 1 species
AACUUCUCAACCACAUCAGAUGUAUUUUUGAUGUGGCUUGGAUUUGGGGGUCGUUUGCAGGCUUUUCUGUGAAAAGAAAGGUCGGCUCCCCUGAAAAGUAUUAGUGGUAUCUGAGCUACUGCUAUAGGUGUGAUAAUUAUCUAUGCCUUUGGUAUGCUGCAUGAAACAGAUUGCGCUGCUUAUUAACUGAACUUGAUAA